UACGUAGGGUGCAAGCGUUAAUCGGAAUUACUGGGCGUAAAGCGUGCGCAGGCGGUUAUGUAAGACAGGUGUGAAAUCCCCGGGCUUAACCUGGGAACUGCAUUUGUGACUGCAUAGCUAGAGUACGGUAGAGGGGGAUGGAAUUCCGCGUGUAGCAGUGAAAUGCGUAGAUAUGCGGAGGAACACCGAUGGCGAAGGCAAUCCCCUGGACCUGUACUGACGCACAUGCACGAAAGCGUGGGGAGCAAACAGG
rnacentral:rRNA from 1 species